GGGUGAUGGCGUGCCUUUUGUAGAAUGAACCGGCGAGUUACGAUCCCGUGCGAGGUUAAGCUGAAGAGGCGGAGCCGCAGCGAAAGCGAGUCUGAAUAGGGCGUUUAGUACGUGGUCGUAGACCCGAAACCAGGUGAUCUACCCAUGUCCAGGGUGAAGUUCAGGUAACACUGAAUGGAGGCCCGAACCCACGCACGUUGAAAAGUGCGGGGAUGAGGUGUGGGUAGCGGAGAAAUUCCAAUCGAACCUGGAGAUAGCUGGUUCUCCCCGAAAUAGCUUUAGGGCUAGCCUUAAGUGUAAGAGUCUUGGAGGUAGAGCACUGAUUGGACUAGGGGUCCUCAUCGGAUUACCGAAUUCAGUCAAACUCCGAAUGCCAAUGACUUAUCCUUAGGAGUCAGACUGCGAGUGAUAAGAUCCGUAGUCAAAAGGGAAACAGCCCAGACCGCCAGCUAAGGUCCCAAAGUGUGUAUUAAGUGGAAAAGGAUGUGGAGUUGCUUAGACAACUAGGAUGUUGGCUUAGAAGCAGCCACCAUUUAAAGAGUGCGUAAUAGCUCACUAGUCGAGUGACUCUGCGCCGAAAAUGUACCGGGGCUAAAUACACCACCGAAGCUGCGGAUUGAUACCAAUGGUAUCAGUGGUAGGGGAGCGUUCUAAGGACAGUGAAGUCAGACCGGAAGGACUGGUGGAGUGCUUAGAAGUGAGAAUGCCGGUAUGAGUAGCGAAAGACGGGUGAGAAUCCCGUCCACCGAAUGCCUAAGGUUUCCUGAGGAAGGCUCGUCCGCUCAGGGUUAGUCAGGACCUAAGCCGAGGCCGACAGGCGUAGGCGAUGGACAACAGGUUGAUAUUCCUGUACCACCUCUUUAUCGUUUGAGCAAUGGAGGGACGCAGAAGGAUAGAAGAAGCGUGCGAUUGGUUGUGCACGUCCAAGCAGUUAGGCUGAUAAGUAGGCAAAUCCGCUUAUCGUAAAGGCUGAGCUGUGAUGGGGAAGCUCCUUAUGGAGCGAAGUCUUUGAUUCCCCGCUGCCAAGAAAAGCUUCUAGCGAGAUAAAAGGUGCCUGUACCGCAAACCGACACAGGUAGGCGAGGAGAGAAUCCUAAGGUGUGCGAGAGAACUCUGGUUAAGGAACUCGGCAAAAUGACCCCGUAACUUCGGGAGAAGGGGUGCUUUCUUAACGGAAAGCCGCAGUGAAUAGGCCCAAGCGACUGUUUAGCAAAAACACAGCUCUCUGCGAAGCCGUAAGGCGAAGUAUAGGGGGUGACACCUGCCCGGUGCUGGAAGGUUAAGGAGAGGGGUUAGCGUAAGCGAAGCUCUGAACUGAAGCCCCAGUAAACGGCGGCCGUAACUAUAACGGUCCUAAGGUAGCGAAAUUCCUUGUCGGGUAAGUUCCGACCCGCACGAAAGGUGUAACGAUUUGGGCACUGUCUCAACCAGAGACUCGGUGAAAUUAUAGUACCUGUGAAGAUGCAGGUUACCCGCGACAGGACGGAAAGACCCCGUGGAGCUUUACUGUAGCCUGAUAUUGAAUUUUGGUACAGUUUGUACAGGAUAGGCGGGAGCCAUUGAAACCGGAGCGCUAGCUUCGGUGGAGGCGCUGGUGGGAUACCGCCCUGACUGUAUUGAAAUUCUAACCUACGGGUCUUAUCGACCCGGGAGACAGUGUCAGGUGGGCAGUUUGACUGGGGCGGUCGCCUCCUAAAGUGUAACGGAGGCGCCCAAAGGUUCCCUCAGAAUGGUUGGAAAUCAUUCGUAGAGUGCAAAGGCAUAAGGGAGCUUGACUGCGAGACCUACAAGUCGAGCAGGGACGAAAGUCGGGCUUAGUGAUCCGGUGGUUCCGCAUGGAAGGGCCAUCGCUCAACGGAUAAAAGCUACCCCGGGGAUAACAGGCUUAUCUCCCCCAAGAGUCCACAUCGACCGGGGAGGUUUGGCACCUCGAUGUCGGCUCAUCGCAUCCUGGGGCUGUAGUCGGUCCCAAGGGUUGGGCUGUUCGCCCAUUAAAGCGGUACGCGAGCUGGGUUCAGAACGUCGUGAGACAGUUCGGUCCCUAUCCGUCGUGGGCGUAGGAAAUUUGAGAGGAGCUGUCCUUAGUACGAGAGGACCGGGAUGGACGCACCGCUGGUGUACCAGUUGUUCUGCCAAGGGCAUAGCUGGGUAGCUAUGUGCGGAAGGGAUAAGUGCUGAAAGCAUCUAAGCAUGAAGCCCCCCUCAAGAUGAGAUUUCCCAUAGCGUAAGCUAGUAAGAUCCCUGAAAGAUGAUCAGGUUGAUAGGUUCGAGGUGGAAGCAUGGUGACAUGUGGAGCUGACGAAUACUAAUAGAUCGAGGACUUAACCAUAUAA
rnacentral:rRNA from 1 species